rnacentral:rRNA from 1 species
CAUAGGUUAAUGAGGCGAACCGGGGGAACUGAAACAUCUAAGUACCCCGAGGAAAAGAAAUCAACCGAGAUUCCCCCAGUAGCGGCGAGCGAACGGGGAGGAGCCCAGAGCCUGAAUCAGUGUGUGUGUUAGUGGAAGCGUCUGGAAAGGCGCGCGAUACAGGGUGACAGCCCCGUACACAAAAAUGCACAUGCUGUGAGCUCGAUGAGUAGGGCGGGACACGUGGUAUCCUGUCUGAAUAUGGGGGGACCAUCCUCCAAGGCUAAAUACUCCUGACUGACCGAUAGUGAACCAGUACCGUGAGGGAAAGGCGAAAAGAACCCCGGCGAGGGGAGUGAAAAAGAACCUGAAACCGUGUACGUACAAGCAGUGGGAGCACAGAGCAAUCUG